rnacentral:rRNA from 1 species
AUACGUAGGUGGCGAGCGUUAUUCGGAUUUAUUGGGCGUAAAGGGUCCGUAGGGGGUUUGUCAAGUCUGGUGUGAAAGCCCGCAGCUUAACUGCGGAACUGCAUUGGAAACUGGCAAACUAGAGCAUACGAGAGGAGAGUGGAAUUCCUGGUGUGGCGGUGGAAUGCGUAGAUAUCAGGAGGAACACCGAUGGCGAAGGCAGCUCUCUGGACUGUUGCUGACCCUGAGGGACGAAGGCUAGGGUAGCGAACAGCAUUAGAUACCCCGGUAGUCC